rnacentral:lncRNA from 1 species
GACCAUGACUCCAGUCCUUGCCUCUGCCACAGCCCCAGAGCGCAGCUGAGUCCCAGUGACAGAGUCGGACACUCACGCCAAGCACACCCUGAGCCGGGCCACCUCCCAACCCAUCCCACCCCCUCCCUGUUGGGGUGAACGGGUCCUGCCUGGGGGCAGCAGGUCGUGCGUGGAGGCCUGAAGGAUGCCGAGUGAUGACUCGAGCAGCCGUCUUCUGCUGUGGGGCCUUCCUAGGCCUUCUGAGAGACCAGGUGAAACCAGGAGGCCCUGCCCCAAGCCUUGCCCUGUCUUACUUCAGUAGGUAGAGCUAGGCUCAGGAUGGAACCCUGGGGUUGGCCAAGAUGCCUGGGGCCUCGCUUCUAGCUGCCUCUGCAGCCUGGGAAACCUCUGUCCUCACUUCUGUGCUGGCCUCACCAUGGAGGGGGCUUUCUCUCCCACCUUCCCUACCAAGGACCCCUUUAAUCCCGAAACUGUGUUUUUACCAUACAAACCACAAUUGCUGUGUAACGCUUCCUUCAUUUUCUCAGUUUGUGCUGACCAAGGCUGUGAGAGCCAUCAGACCCCUGGACAGUGGGGACAACCCAUGCCAUGUUCUGCACUGCAGACUCCCACACGAGCCUGCACGUCCGUCCCCUUUCUCGACACUCCUUUUUCUUGAGGCCAGAAGUCUGGACCGAAGGUGUUGGCAGGGUUGGUUCCUGCCGGAUGCUCUGAGGGAGAAGCUUGUCCAUGCCUCUCUAGCCUCCAGUGGCAGUCAGCAAUCCUUGGCUUGUAGGAGCAUCACUCUAGUCUCUGCCUCCAUUUCACGUGGCCUCCCCUGCUCUGUCUCACGGUCUGUUUCCCAGAGAAACAUUCAUAUGUUGUUAGAUUUCAACAAAUGAAUUUUGAGGGGACACAAAUGUGAAGUCCAUCACGCUCGU